rnacentral:rRNA from 1 species
UUUAUGGAGAGUUUGAUCCUGGCUCAGGAUGAACGCUGGCGGCGUGCCUAAUACAUGCAAGUCGAGCGAACGGACGAGAAGCUUGCUUCUCUGAUGUUAGCGGCGGACGGGUGAGUAACACGUGGAUAACCUACCUAUAAGACUGGGAUAACUUCGGGAAACCGGAGCUAAUACCGGAUAAUAUUUUGAACCGCAUGGUUCAAAAGUGAAAGACGGUCUUGCUGUCACUUAUAGAUGGAUCCGCGCUGCAUUAGCUAGUUGGUAAGGUAACGGCUUACCAAGGCAACGAUGCAUAGCCGACCUGAGAGGGUGAUCGGCCACACUGGAACUGAGACACGGUCCAGACUCCUACGGGAGGCAGCAGUAGGGAAUCUUCCGCAAUGGGCGAAAGCCUGACGGAGCAACGCCGCGUGAGUGAUGAAGGUCUUCGGAUCGUAAAACUCUGUUAUUAGGGAAGAACAUAUGUGUAAGUAACUGUGCACAUCUUGACGGUACCUAAUCAGAAAGCCACGGCUAACUACGUGCCAGCAGCC